rnacentral:misc_RNA from 1 species
GAAAUGCGAUACGUAAUGUGAAUUGCAGAAUUCAGUGAAUCAUCGAAUCUUUGAACGCACAUUGCGCCCCCUGGUAUUCCGGGGGGCAUGCCUGUUCGAGCGUCAUUUCACCACUCAAGCCUCGCUUGGUAUUGGGCAACGCGGUCCGCCGCGUGCCUCAAAUCGACCGGCUGGGUCUUCUGUCCCCUAAGCGUUGUGGAAACUAUUCGCUAAAGGGUGUUCGGGAGGCUACGCCGUAAAACAACCCCAUUUCUAAGGUUGACCUCGGAUCAGGUAGGGAUACCCGCUGAACUUAAGC